CACUCUAGUACCGUAACAACCGAGAUGUCUAUUUACCGUGACGGUGAUGUAUUUAUUUAUGACAUAUUAAAAUUAAAGAACAUUAUUGAAAACAGGAUGUUAAAUUUUUAUAUGUACGUUUGGCACAUGUUGCGAAGAAAUAAUGCGAUCUGAAAUAAUGCAGUACUACUACGAAAACUGAAAAAGGACUAUUGUGAAGAGUUUCAGACAGAUGAAGGUCCCCAUGGCAAUAACAUUCUUCUUGGAUCGUGAAGAUCUGCUAAUCUUGCAAGGAAGGCUAUUUUAGGAGUCCUAAUCGUUCGUACGGGUGUGCGAAAGACAGACAGGUGACAGAGAGAGGAGAUAAACCCGAGCGUUUUCGUUGUCCCCUCCCUUGAACACCAUACCGGCAACCGGCAAUUCCAGGGUAGAUCUCAGUGUGUUGCAGAAUGUCUAUCCCUCCAGGCAUGUGCUUCGUGUGUCGUGAUGACCUCGACACAGGUCCUGUUGUGAUCAUCAAAGAACGAGGGAUUCGAACACUAAUUGAAGUGAGUCAAAAACGUAGUCUCACAGAAAAUAAAAAUUUCCUCCAAAUUUGCAACCAAGUCAGUGUUCAUGAUGCAUGCAGGAAGAGAUAUACAGCUGUGUGUAACGUUGAAGCCUCUAUUCAUCGAGUAGGGGAUUCUGCUUCGCAACCAAAGACUUCAUAGACUAGAUUAUCAAGUAAACUGGCUGCUACCUAGAGAGGGAUUUGCUUUUUGUGUGGUGAUGCUAUCACUGAAGAAUUUCUCCAGCAACAAAGCAAACUGCCCUUGACAAGAAGGAAUGUGGUCCAUACAGUUGAGAAGCUGGGCAUGAGGCAAACUGUUCUAGAUGCAGCUAAACGCCGAGGUGACGAUUGGGGAAGGGCCAUUGAGGAGCGCCACCUCGCCAUUGACGACCUGGUUGCUGCAGACGGGACGUACACAGAUUGUGCUACAGGAGCCUGUUUAGAUUACCACCUGCUACUGGGAAUAAGAGAGGGUAUCGUCCAGCCAGUAACACUGAAGAAGCUAUGGAGUGUGUGUACGAUUACCUAUUGGAAAACAGUGAUGAAUGCCAGUUUUCUUUAUCACACCUUCUGCAGCAAAUUAAAGGUGAUUGUAUAUCUGAUGUCAGAACAGCGAAAACUCACCUCCAAAAACGUUUUUGCGAUGACAUAGUCAUAGUGGAGAUGGGCUCCAACAAAGGGACAUUCGUCUGCUUCAAAAACACCGGCCAUAAAAUUUUGUAUGAUCAUUGGUACAUAGAACAAAAAGGCAAUGUGCAGCAAGAGCAGUUGAGAGUUAUGAAGUCAGCCACAGAAACCAUUGUGGAAGAUAUCCGCACACAAGUGUAUGUCACCAGUCAGUAUCCCCCCCUCAGACCAUUUCUUCAACAAUGUUGAUUGUCAUCCCUGAGACUGUUGUUCUCAAAAACAAGAGUGGCCUCCUUGAAGCAUGGAAGAAGUGUGUGUCAUUUUGUCAUGCUCUGAUAGUUGCUAUAUGACCUCAAUCUUUUGUUUUCUCCCUUCUGAUUGGAAUUGGUACCUACUUUUACCGAAAAUAUGGAUCCAAACAUCUGGUAAAUAUGUGUGCGGCGCUAGGGUUCUCCUGUUCUUAUUCAGUAACUGUGCAGCUUGAAACUUCGGCCAUCUUACGAGAUCAAUCCUCACCACCAAUAGGAAAAAGAGCUUUUAUCCAAUUCGUCUAUGACAAUGCGGACGUGAAUGUUAACACGCUGGAUGGUGCCAACACAUUUCAUGAGAUGGGAGGCAUUAUGUGUGUAACCCCCGAGAGCAGUAAUGCGAGACAAAAACAUCCCACAUAUACAGAACUAUGUUUCUGCUCAAAAUGUGACCUCCAGCAGUGAGGUUUCAGUUUUCACGGUCAAAAAUCAUUUUCCUUCAAUUUAUCCAUGCCCCUCCCACUGACUAUAAGACUGUAUUCAUUUCACUCAUGGAAGCCAGUAACCUGGAGAAAAGCUCAUGGCCAGAAAAUCACGUUCGUCACUUUCGACCAGCCAUUAUACAUAAAAGCAAGAGAUAUUGUCCAGAGUGGACUUCACCCGGAGUUGAACAGUGUAGUUGUACGGCUUUGUGGAUUUCACCUCUUACUGUCCUUUAUGGGAUGCAUUGGCACAAUAAUGGGUGGGAGUGGUCUGAAAGAUCUACUAACCACCAUCUACACAGGCCACAGUGUUGACAAAAUUUUGAAUAUGCACGCAUAUUCACGAGCUGUUCGAACCCACAUUUUGACAAACCUCACACUGGCUGGCAUUGUUUUUUAUGAGGCUGACAUGACUCCUGAGGAGUGAAACGAGAAUGAAAAAUUGCUGAGAGACACUGAGAGGUCUCUCACUAUGUCAGCAGAAGAAAUUGAUACCUACCAAAUGCUAAAGGCAAAAUUUAAAAGUGCCUUGGAGAAAAUGGAAGCAUAUGGUCCAACAUCAGAGUUGUGGGUCCAAUACUUUCGUAUGACCACUUUGAUCAAACUAUUCAUACAGGCAGAGCGUGCUGCUGAUUGGAACCUUCAUUUGUACACUGUCUACAAGAUACUCCCUUUUUUCCAUGCAGCUGGACAUGUUUUGUACGCUAAGAGCGUGCACCUCUACCUUCAGGAUAUGAUGGCUCUACAAGAUCGGAUGGCUAAAAGUGAAUACCAAAUGUUCACAAAAGGAUCCUUCACCAUUCACCGGUCUGACAAGUUUUAGUCUGGGUUGUGGUCAGACCUAACAAUUGACCAGAAACUGAUGCGAUCCAUUAAGACCUAUGUAGGUUGACCCAAGGAAGGGGAAUCUCUGACAGUGUGCUGGCAAGGUGGACUGCAUAGGCCAGUCAACAAGAGGGAAAGUAAACACUUUUUACCAGCAGACCUGAAAACUUGAUAUAAGGGUAAUUCGAGGACGCUGAAUCGAUUGGUGCAAAUAUUUUUGCAAUCGGACGUGAAGUUUUUGGAGAAAAAGGUUAAAAAUUGUUUUGAAUCAGUUUUUCUCAGAAUUUAGGAGUUUAAUCAAAAAACGUUUUAAACAAAAGUUGCUGAGAAUUAAAAAAUACAUUAAAAAGGUUCUCAGGUCUAUCUUCGCAUUUUCAAUCAUGAGCAAGAAAUAUUGGAAAGAAAGUAGUCAGCGUAAUUGUACGUAAAAGUAGGGCUAGUGUGCGUGCGAGUGUACGUGUGAACUAAACAAACAAAGGGCCUUCGGCUAUUCUUGGGCCUCUCCGUCAUGACUAGGGAGUGCGAGUGAGAGAAGAAACCGUUUGUUCUCUUUUUCUAUUGUCUCACGCGUUAGCGAGUAUUUUUCCUCUUUGGCCGUUCAUUAUCGAGCAUUAUAUUUUAAAUCGAAUCGUGAU